UACGGGGGGGGUAAGCGUUGUUCGGAAUUACUGGGCGUAAAGGGCUCGUAGGCGGCCAACUAAGUCGGACGUGAAAUCCCUCAGCUUAACUGGGGAACUGCGUCCGAUACUGGAUGGCUUGGAUUUGGGAGAGGGAUGCGGAAUUCCAGGUGUAGCGGUGAAAUGCGUAGAUAUCUGGAGGAACACCGGUGGCGAAGGCGGCAUCCUGGACCGGAACUGACGCUGAGGCGCGAAAGCGUGGGGAGCAAACAGG
rnacentral:rRNA from 1 species